CAGGCAUCAGCAGGUUCUGGAACCAGAGCCUCUGUCUCUUUGGAAACAUGUGGACUUUAUCCCUGUGGCUGUGCUCUCAUUGUUCCCUCUCUGCCGGAUGGGCCCGUGCCUAUCACAGUGCCAAGCAUACAAUGGGUGUGAUGUAAAUAUUUUUGAAUGAAUGAAUUACUGGCGUAUCUCUGCUUCUCCAUUAAUAUGGAUGAGGAAUGACUGCACAGAAUGGCUGUUGGUACCAUCGCUACUGACUCCCUAACUUAAUCUUUGCUUCACAAUUUAAAACUCUUGGGUUAAGACUCUGGUUGACUCAACUUGGCAAUGGAUUGACUCCUUCUUGGGGCCCUCUGCAGUAUGACUUUGCUGCCUUGCCCAUGAAGAAGAAGGCCUUUAACCCUGGGCUGAUUUUAUGACUUGCUUUGAGUAGCAGAAUGAGGGGAACUGAUGGUGCAGGAGUUCCGAAGCCUAAUUCUUAAGAGGCCUGAGCACAGAGCCACCACCAUGCGAGGAAUCCCACCUUUGCCUGCUGGAUACAGAGGGUCUGUGGCGGGCCAGUCAUAACCACCAGCUACGAAGACAAGGCCGCUUCAGAGUGUCGAGCCCCCCUUGAGCUACCAAUGACUGCUGCCGUGUGAGUGACCUCAAAUGAGACCAACAGGAGUCCUUGUUUAUUCAUUCAUACAACAGACGUCAGUGUCCUUCCUACAUGCCUGGCACAGUGUUACAUCCUGAAGCUACAGACAAAGCUUAUAACUAUCUCCUCUGAGGAACUGUGGAGCGAAGGAAUACAAAUGAUCGAUGUAGCCUAUAACCACAGGACAAUGGUACAACCAAGACUCCUGUCCCUGUUGCAGGUCCUCUAGUUGUGGGAUGUGGGACGCCGCCUCAACGUGGCCCGACGAGUGGUGCCAUGUCC
rnacentral:lncRNA from 1 species